CGGAGGGUCACUGAUAACGGCAAAGUCCCGUUCAGGGCUGAGCCUUCAUCCAUCCGUCUCUUAUUCUCAGCAUCUCGCACAGUUGUGGAACCCUGCAAGGAUAGGCUUCUCCAUGCCUCCAAGUCAGGCACGGAAUGGUUGGUAACUCCAGAGAAGCUCUGCCACCGUCGUACCAACGGACACAUCUUGCCUGGCAGUGUUCAAAAUGAGCAUCGCGGAUUACUGGACAAACUGACGUCUUUUGACAGGAUACCGAGAAAGACACAGCAUCUCUUCAUCACAGCUCUAUCAGAAGGCUGGAAGUAACAUAGCUUAUUGGAAAAAGGUAUGUUUAUGUUAUUAAAAAAAUCAUCAGAUCUUUAGAGUGUAAAUGGCUAUAUUACAUUCGGAAGUAAACCCAGAAAUUAGUCUAUAUUAGAACAAAUUAGAAAUGUAUUCUUAUUGAGGGCAGACAUCAUAUGAACAAUAGAAAGUGACAAAAAUGAAAAAAUUUAAAAGAUGUACAAUUUCUUUUUCUUAAUGACUCAUCUAUAAUGACAUAUACCCUCAUUUUUUCUUUUAUAUCCCAAGUAGGAAUGACCUUCAGAUUUUACUGGCUUGCACUUAUCAGAUGUUUGCAAGGGAACAAACACAUGCAGAUUUCCCCUUCUGGAUGUCAGUGAUCAGGCUAUUGCUAAGAACCCCGCAGGAACCAGUAGACAGCCCGAUAAACACAUUACUUUCUUCUUUUUAUAAUAUGCCUAGUGAAAACUAGUAAAUUGAAAACAACGAAAGCACAAAUAACUUCUCCUGCACACCGGAGAGUUUUGCACGCUAAACCCAAAGGAAACCUCCCAGUCACCGGGCUAAGUGGAGCCCACCUGUAAUCCCAGCAUGAGGGAGGCAGAACCAGGUGGCUUAGUGUGAGUUCAAGGUCAGCCUGGUCUACACAGUAAUUAAAGGCCAGCCAGGGCUACAUAGAGAGCCUUUGUCUCUGAGAUGAUGAUGAUGAUCAUAAAUCUCACAUCGAACCUUUGAGGUAGACAGUAUCAGUUACAUCGUCCAAGAGAGUUUUGUUCUUGUUGGGUGCCCACAGUCACUUCCCAGAACCCAGAGACAAAAUAAAAGUGGUGUAGGUUGUUUCACUAAGUUUAACCCUGAAGUAACAACAGGCAUUUUCUCUUUGAGCUUGUCUUGUCAUGCAGCCGGGGCUGACAAAGAACUAACCAUUCUCUUGCCGCUUCCUCCCACACACCGAGACCCCAACCAGGACCAGCUUCCCAGACCCAUUCUUCACACACGAGUCCCAGACCCAUUCUUCACACACGAGAGCCGAGACUUCUGAGAUCCUCUCUGCAUUCUUCCAAGGACCCUCUGACUAAGCCCUGUUUCCAGAAGGGAAACAGAGCUUCUUUGUCUUGCGUGGGCUCUUUGGCCAGCGAGUGGGUGUGGAGUGCGCAGAGCAGGGCUUGAGGGAGCCCAGUUGGAACCCAGCUGCAGUUGGAGCCUCAGAGCCUCGCUGUGUGCACCUGCCGUCUGCCCCGGGGCCUGAAGUCAGAAGAGCCUUCCCUUUACAUCAGAGCAGGUGCUGCUGUGGCACGCUUUACAAUUCAUCAGCAACAUCACCUGGGACCUUUGCGGCUCUGCGUGCAUCGUUUUUUGUCUUCCCUGGAACAAGCACCUGCAUGUGGGGUGCCAGGCUUGGCUGUGUUUGUCCCACACUCCAGAUUUACCCAGCUCGGGCAGACAGAGGGUAACACCACACCUUCACAUGGGCUCAUUCUGAGAACUGGAGGCCCAGAAGGCAGCAGUCCAGCUGGGACGGUACCCGCCCGCGGUUUCAGCCCACAGCAGCCCAGGAAUGGCGUUUUUGCCUGCUGCCUGCCACCACUGUCCCGUGUGCCACAGCUGGAGCCUCGUGAGCGCCUGUCCCUGAGUCUGUUUGCGAAGAAAUAGCAGGCAAACCCAAAUGGAUAUUGUUUACAAAAUGCGUGGCCAUUCUCUCUCAUGACUCCAAGAUGAACAAACGCAAAGAGAGGACGAAGAGUCCUAAGACAAAGGACAAAGUUUGACUCUGGGCUGCUCCUGAGCCGGGAAGUAAACAAGAGAGGAUAUUAUCUAGGUAACCGAUGGAAGUGUAAUACAAACUGCUCUCUCUCUCUCUCUCUCUCCCCCCCCCCAUCUCCUCACGCUUCCGCUUCCAAUUGCAUGUAUACACACAUGCACUCACCCAAACACAUACACACAUGCAAGAUAGCAGGCUUGAAAUGAUUCUAUUGUUUUUGUUUUCUGGUUAAAUGACCAGUGUACAAUGGUGUGCAUAUGUAAAAGGAAUCAUGUGGCAUGAUCUCCAUGGCUCUCACUUUAUGGUGGUGGGAAUUUGAGUCAUCGUACAUUCUUUCCAUUUAUGUGUUUCAAAGUGUGGUGUUAUUUUAUAAACAUAUUGAAGCAACA